AUGCAGACUUCCUCGUCGGGCCGGAUGCGGCAUGCGUGGGGCUCGUGGAGGACGCUGCAGGCUGGAAGCUUGUCCAGUCCCGCCGUGCAUGGCUGGCACCUCGGCCAUCUUCGGCUUUCAUGCCUCAUCAUCGUCCCCGGUCGCCCACGUGGCUCUGGAAUAGAUGUUUUCGUUGCUUCGGAAAAGGUCAUCGAGCGGCCGAGUGCAGGGAUCCAAUCCGGUGCAACCAAUGCUUUCGCUCGGGACACCGUGCACGGGAUGGCUGCAAGCCGGUGCAGCCGCAGCCUUAUGCAAGUGUUGUUCGGCCGCUGGCUCAUUCUUGGGCUUCGAUUGUUGCGCCUUCAUCAACAUCUGAGAAACAUGAGGCCCACUCCUUCUGUCCUGAUAGAUGUGACGCUCCAAUCUGCUCUAGGGGUGCACUCGAAGUUGCUAGGAUUUGAUCUUCAUUGCAUGACUUCCUCACAGAUGGAGGAGGCGAUUAAGCUGCUUCGCGAGGUCGCCGACUCCUUGCAAGGCUGGAUGGUGUGUAUUGGGAGCUUUCUAGAGCGCGCGGAGGCUACUCUGCAAAGGCUCCCUCUUGCACAGGCUCCCGUGGUUGAGUCUUCUGUUGGCUUCAUGGAUGAGGCGGAUACGGAGCUCUUUGGUAGCUUCUCGCCCCGUGUUGGGUCUAGUUCGACGCCCCUUGUGUUGCUGGACUCUGUGGGUGAGGCAUCCGCCGAGGUUGGGUCUCCGGUGUUGCAGAUCAUGCCUGAGUUGCAGGUGUUGUGUGGGAAACAUGUUUCGCCUGUGUCGAUGGAGCAGCUCAAGUUGGGCUCUCUCCAGGCUUGGAAGGUGGACCAUGUGUCCUCACCACCCCCCAUGGAGCCUUGUCAGGCUUCGGAGGUUGACUUGGUGCCCUUACCACCACCCGUGGAGCCUUGUCAGUUGUCAGACAACCUAUCUCUCAACAUGGAGCAUGGCGUUUUAGAUGUUGCUGCCCUUCCCUCGUCUGCGACCGUCGGGCAGGUGAUGCCUGUGAGUGGCAUGACCAUUGAGCCACUUGUGUUGGCACCUACUCCAAAUCCAAAUGCUCUUCAUUGA
rnacentral:rRNA from 1 species